rnacentral:rRNA from 1 species
AUUGCAGUCUGCAACUCGACUGCAUGAAGCUGGAAUCGCUAGUAAUCGCGGAUCAGAAUGCCGCGGUGAAUACGUUCCCGGGUCUUGUACACACCGCCCGUCACACCAUGGGAGUCGGAUAUGCCCGAAGUCAGUGACCCAACCGCAAGGAGGGAGGCUGCCGAAGGUGGAGCCGAUGACUGGGGUGAAGUCGUAACAAGGUAAC